GUCGAACGAUGAUCCUCAGCUUGCUGGGGGGAUUAGUGGCGAACGGGUGAGUAACACGUGAGUAACCUGCCCUUGACUCUGGGAUAAGCCUGGGAAACUGGGUCUAAUACUGGAUAUGACCUUCCAUCGCAUGGUGGUUGGUGGAAAGCUUUUGUGGUUUUGGAUGGACUCGCGGCCUAUCAGCUUGUUGGUGGGGUAAUGGCCUACCAAGGCGACGACGGGUAGCCGGCCUGAGAGGGUGGACGGCCACACUGGGACUGAGACACGGCCCAGACUCCUACGGGAGGCAGCAGUGGGGAAUAUUGCACAAUGGGCGCAAGCCUGAUGCAGCGACGCCGCGUGAGGGAUGAAGGCCUUCGGGUUGUAAACCUCUUUCAGUAGGGAAGAAGCGUAAGUGACGGUACCUGCAGAAGAAGCGCCGGCUAACUACGUGCCAGCAGCCGCGGUAAUACGUAGGGCGCAAGCGUUAUCCGGAAUUAUUGGGCGUAAAGAGCUCGUAGGCGGUUUGUCGCGUCUGCCGUGAAAGUCCGGGGCUUAACUCCGGAUCUGCGGUGGGUACGGGCAGACUUGAGUGAUGUAGGGGAGACUGGAAUUCCUGGUGUAGCGGUGAAAUGCGCAGAUAUCAGGAGGAACACCGAUGGCGAAGGCAGGUCUCUGGGCAUUAACUGACGCUGAGGAGCGAAAGCAUGGGGAGCGAACAGGAUUAGAUACCCUGGUAGUCCAUGCCGUAAACGUUGGGCACUAGGUGUGGGGGACAUUCCACGUUUUCCGCGCCGUAGCUAACGCAUUAAGUGCCCCGCCUGGGGAGUACGGCCGCAAGGCUAAAAUCAUG
rnacentral:rRNA from 1 species